GCCUCUAUUUGUUUAUAUAGGGAUGACAAGCAAAUGCUAUUUUUUAGGUCCUCACUUUUGAUUUGACCACCUCCUUUUUGGAUUUGAUUGCAACUAGUGAUGUCUAGUGGGAUAGCGGCAGUAGGAAGAUACAUAAUUAGAAGUCACACUAUUAAGCUUUUCUUAAAUAUAACAUUUUUUUAAUUCUAUUUUAGCUUAAUUUAAUUAGACACAAAAUUUAGGGAAAAAAUGAAGGCUUAAUGAUACAUUAGGUAGAUGUGGUAAAAGAUGAAAGUAUGAUUUUGUUGACUAGUUUAUUUUUACAUUAACUGGAUUCUGAUAUACGUAGAAUUUUUCGUAAACGAUGUUAUCAUUUGAAGAAAUGAAUAAAUUACUAUAAUGAAAAGCAUUGCCAUUUCUUUUUUAUAUUUAUACCCAGUAUUGUCGUUUUGCUUACUUUUAAUAUAUACAUAUUAAGUAAAAAAGUUCAACGAAGCUGUGUUUCGUGAUACUAUUUGCAAAGCGUGAAGUGAGGCAGAAAUGGAGUGGUCUCUAUCGAUUUAUAGAAGAAAAUGAAGAGGUGGGGACCUGUUUUAGGAAAAAAGUUCAAUGAACUUUCUUUUUCUCUAGCGACUACGGUUUUUUGGAUGGAUUGUUGCUUCUUCCUUAAAAUCCAGAUUACAUGAGUGCGAGUCAAAUGCCAGAAAAAUGCCAAGCCACUCGAAGAUAAACAAGUGUCUUCAGAGUUCAUUGCAGAGGCUACACCAAGGGGUUUUCUCGAGCCACUCUUCCUCUUGUUGACACGUGGAUCAUGGAAAAAGUGCGGUUAGUUACCCUAUUUUGUCAUAUUAAUAAAUAAUUGGAUUUUUUUUUCUUUGUCCUUAUAGUCAGGGCCGGAGUUAGUGCCCGUUUAAGCCCUUUUUAGCUUAUUGUAGUGUUUGGCUAAUGUCAAAUUUAAGCCAUAAAGUGCUUAAAGUUGCCAAAAAAUGAAAAGUUAGGAUUCCUAACUUUUUUUUUGGAAGGGCUUAAAGCCAUUUUAGUUGACCAUGGAAAUUACUUUUAUAUCCCUUAUAUUU